UACGUAGGGUGCAAGCGUUAAUCGGAAUUACUGGGCGUAAAGCGUGCGCAGGCGGUUUUGUAAGUCGAUUGUGAAAUCCCCGGGCUUAACCUGGGAAUGGCAUUUGGGACUGCAAGGCUUGAGUGCGGCAGAGGAGACUGGAAUUCCUGGUGUAGCAGUGAAAUGCGUAGAUAUCAGGAGGAACACCCGUGGCUAAGGGCGGCUCUCUAGUAACGGUACUGACGCUGAGACGGCGAAAGCGUGGGGAGCGAACAGG
rnacentral:rRNA from 1 species